GGGAAAGAAAAUAUGAAACUAAAAUCUAAAAAGAGAAAUUAAAAGAAUUAAAAUCUAAGUAAAACUAAUGGAAAAGUAGAAAGAAAAUAAUGCAUUAUAUCUAUCCUAUAUUACGGUAACUAAUGCAAUCUGGAUUAACAAGACUAAGCUAAUGCAAUUAAAAGAAUCCUAAAAACUAAAAAGAAACUAAAACAGAAUUCACAAUCAGGAAAUCCUAAUUUGGUAAUUAACUAAGUGAAUGAACCAUAAGGACUAUCAUGGGAAUGAAUGCUAAGAAAGAAAUUAAAACAGUAACUAUGAAAGAAAAUUUGAAAAUCUAAUAACACCCAAAAUUAGAAUUGAAAUGCCCAAAUCAAACUAAU
rnacentral:lncRNA from 1 species